UACGUAGGGUGCAAGCGUUGUCCGGAAUUAUUGGGCGUAAAGAGCUCGUAGGCGGUCUGCCGCGUCGGCUGUGAAAACUCGGGGCUCAACUCCGAGCUUGCAGUCGAUACGGGCAGGCUAGAGUUCGGCAGGGGAGACUGGAAUUCCUGGUGUAGCGGUGAAAUGCGCAGAUAUCAGGAGGAACACCGGUGGCGAAGGCGGGUCUCUGGGCCGAUACUGACGCUGAGGAGCGAAAGCGUGGGGAGCGAACAGG
rnacentral:rRNA from 1 species